GAACAGCAGGCAGCAAGGGGACGUGGAUGGGGCCUGGAGGCUGGGGCGCAUGGCCAGGCUCAUAAGCACAGUCUGCAUCAUCCUGGGAACCAUCAUCAUCGUGCUCUACUUCUCGCUCAACUUUACAGUUUUCAAGAAGAACUAGCAUGCAGACGCCCUGACGAAGAAGGCACCUUUCCUUCAGGGGCUUCUAUUUGUAACCUCACGGCAAAAAUGCGACCGUUUCAAGGGCCGGAGCUAGGAAGUGUCGCUGUUGGAGCAUCGUCCGAGGGAGUGCAUGCAUUUAUUUCUCAGCCUCUUGGAAAAUGAUUUCACACUGAACAACUUGAGCGGCGCAUACAAGAGCUCGACAAGGCCUGGGAGAGGUCUCCGAUCCCAAGCAGAGUGGAGCAGAGGGAGAUCCGCUACCUCAUUCCUGCCCAGUAAAGAACACGGAGGGGUGGAGACCAGGAGGGAAGAAGGAGGUUGAUCUGGGGGAGAAAAGGGCCACCAAAGUGGAAAGGGGCGAAUGGGACCCUCUGAGGAAACCUCUUGACAACUUUGGCACAAAUGACUGUUUUGUUUUGCUUUUUUAAAACAACCAGUCGUCUCUCUGGGAAAGCUCCAGCUGCCACUGGGAGAUGAAGUCUGUUUGGCGAGCGGGGAAGGAGCACACUGCCUCCGGGGGCCACCGCGUGCGCCUCCCCACAGCCGUGGCACCGGGGCCGACCGCGGCUGCAAGGCACGGCUUUGGCGGGUUUUGUAUUUUUGAUGAAAAAAAAAA